GUCAUGAACCCCGGCUUGGAAAGCCGGGGCUUGCAGCAGGGCUACCCACUCUGCGGUAGGCCACGAUUUUCCACGUCUCACAUGAGCAGACUCAGUCCUUCGGGGCUACGUUCGGAACGAAAUAGGUACCAGUGGGUGCGCGGCCAGCCCACUGCUCUACG
rnacentral:sRNA from 32 species